rnacentral:rRNA from 1 species
GCCUUCAUGAAGCCGGAAUUGCUAGUAAUGGCAGGUCAGCAUACUGCCGUGAAUACGUUCCCGGGCCUUGUACACACCGCCCGUCACACCAUGAGAGUUGGGAGUACCCGAAGUCGGUAGCCUAACCGUAAGGAGGGCGCCGCCGAAGGUGGGAUUGAUGACUGGGGUGAAGUCGUAACAAGGUAUC